rnacentral:rRNA from 1 species
ACGUUGCAACGCUCGUUCUCGUACGGUCAACGAAGUUAAGCAACGUCGAGCCUGGUCAGUAACUAGAUGGGUGACCGUUUGGGAAAUAAAAGCGCUGUAAG